rnacentral:rRNA from 1 species
AGUGAACGCUGGCGGUAGGCCUAACACAUGCAAGUCGAACGGCAGCACAGUAAGCGUUUGCCUUUACGGUUGGCGAGUGGCGGGUGGGUGAGACAUACAUCACCUUCCUCUUUUUCGUGGGUGACAUCGUAGAAACACUUCCGCUACCACCUCAUAUGUCCUACCGGAUAGAUCAGGAGAUCUUCGGACCUUGCGUGUCUGUUAUAGCUGAUGUCGGAUUAGCUAGUUGGCGGGGUAAAGGCCCACCAAGGCGACGAUCCGUAGCUGAUCUGAGAGGAUGAUCAGCCACACUGGAACUGAGACACGGUCCAGACUCCUACGGGAGGCAGCAGUGGGGAAUAUUGGACAAUGGGCGAAAGCCUGACGCAGCAAUGCCGCGUGAGUGAAGAAGGCCUUCGGGUUGUAAAGCCCUGUUGUUAGGAAAGAAAAGAAGCAGAUGAAUACCCGGAUGUUUUGACGGUACCUAAAGAAUAAGCAACGGCUAACUACGUG